rnacentral:lncRNA from 1 species
CAAGGACCAGUGAGGAACGAGGACUAAGCAGAAGUAGGAGCUCAGCAGAAGUCACAGCCUGCUGCUGUUUCCUUUGGCUUCUGGUUCCCCAAUACUGGAAUCAUGUAAUCAAGUUAAAAAUGGAUGACCAAAAAGGAGAAGCGAAGUACCAAAGAUCUUUUCAAGCCCUUUCCAGAGCUCUGCACCCAGUUCUGGAGCCUGUUGCUUAGAGACAAUGAACAAGCCCUUCCUCGUCCUUUCUCAUAUAAGCUCUGGCGGUGGCCAACGACCCAAAGGACAAUUUACUUAAAGAUUUCCAGAGUAUGAAUGAUGGGAACACCUUCUGAAAAAUAGGUGGCUACGUGAUCUUUGUCAUUGGAAGAAUAUCACAGAGUGUGCUGACACGACUCAAGGGCAGUAUGACGUCACCAGGUGAGGCAGUCUCAAGGAGCCGCUGUUGAAUGACACUCUGCACAUGCUGCAUGCAGGAAUAUAAGUGGCCCUGUGGGGACACUGGAAACAAGACCGAUGGGGUGAGAUACAGAGAGGAAUAAGACACAGCCUCUUUCUUUAGGGAACAUUUUUUUCUCACCCAUAGGUGGGACCCCAUAGGUCUCUGAGAGUAGCCAAGGCCCUCUGUGCUCCACAAAUUUAUUCUCCUACUUGUCAUCAGAGGGGCCUAUCCUGUUCUCUGUGCCUUCAGGUGUCCCAGGUGAGCCAGCUCCAGGCCAAGAUCUCUCCUUAAGACUCCUAGGGGGAGAAUAAAGGAUGGAGAGAGAGAGAGAAAUAAGAAGUU